rnacentral:rRNA from 1 species
GUGUCAGCCGCCGCGGUAAUACGUAGGGGGCAAGCGUUGUCCGGAAUUAUUGGGCGUAAAGCGCGCGCAGGCGGUCUUUUAAGUCUGGUGUCUAAGUGCGGGGCUCAACCCCGUGAUGCACUGGAAACUGGGAGACUUGAGUGCAGAAGAGGAGAGCGGAAUUCCACGUGUAGCGGUGAAAUGCGUAGAGAUGUGGAGGAACACCAGUGGCGAAGGCGGCUCUCUG